rnacentral:pre_miRNA from 1 species
AAUACUACUCCCUCCGUUCCAAAAUAAGUGCAAUUUUAUACUAUUCACGUUUAAUGUUUAACCGUUUGCCUUAUUUAAAUUUUUUUUAUAAUUAGUAUUUUUAUUGCUAUUAGAUGAUAAAACAUGAAUAGUACUUUGUGACUAAAUAUUUUUAAAAUUUUCAAAUAAGACGGACGGUCAAAUAUUGGGCACGAAUAUCAAUGGCUGCACUUAUUUUGGGACGGAGGUAG